AGUUUGAUCCUGGCUCAGAACGAACGCUGGCGGCGCGUUUUAAGCAUGCAAGUCGAGCGGCAAGGGUCUUCGGGCCCCUAGAGCGGCGGACGGGCGAGUAACACGUGGACAAUCUGCCCCCCGGCCGGGGAUAGCCCAGGGAAACCUGGAUUAAUACCGGAUGAGACGGGACCCGCGGAGGCGGGAUCCGGGAAAGGCGCUGCGGCGCCGCCGGGGGAUGAGUCUGCGUCCCAUUAGCUUGACGGCGGGGUAACGGCCCACCGUGGCGACGAUGGGUAGCCGGCCUGAGAGGGUGUACGGCCACAUUGGAACUGAGACACGGUCCAGACUCCUACGGGAGGCAGCAGCUAAGAAUCUUCCGCAAUGGGCGAAAGCCUGACGGAGCGACGCCGCGUGAACGAAGAAGGCCGUGAGGUUGUAAAGUUCUUUUCGGGAGGGGGAACGACCGUGGCAGGGAAUGGCCGCGGGAUGACGUGAAUCCCGGAAUAGGCCCCGGCUAACUACGUGCCAGCAGCCGCGGUAACACGUAGGGGGCGAGCGUUGUUCGGAAUCAUUGGGCGUAAAGGGCGUGCAGGCGGUCCUGCAAGUCCGGCGUGAAAGACCCCGGCCCAACCGGGGGGGCGCGCUGGAAACUGCAGGGCUUGAGUACAGGAGGGGAUGCCGGAAUUCCAGGUGUAGGGGUGAAAUCUGUAGAUAUCUGGAGGAACACCAAUGGCGAAAGCAGGCAUCUGGGCCAUGUACGACGCUGAGACGCGAAAGUGCGGGGAGCAAACAGUUUAGAUACCCUGUAGUCCGCACAGUAAACGAUGUGCACCAGUGGCGGGGGGGUCGACCCCGUACCGUAGCCAACGCAUUAAGUGCACGCCUGGGGAGUAUGCUCGCAAGGUGAACUCAAAGAAUUGACGGGGCCGCACAGCGGUGGAGAUGGUGGUUUAAUUCGAU
rnacentral:rRNA from 1 species